ACGGAGAGUUUGAUCCUGGCUCAGGAUGAACGCUGGCGGUAUGCUUAACACAUGCAAGUCGAACGGAUGUUUUCGGACAUUAGUGGCGGACGGGUGAGUAACGCGUGAGAAUCUAGCUUCAGGUUGGGGACAACAGUUGGAAACGACUGCUAAUACCGAAUGUGCCGAGAGGUGAAAGAUUUAUUGCCUGAAGAAGAGCUCGCGUCUGAUUAGCUAGUUGGUGGGGUAAGAGCUUACCAAGGCGACGAUCGGUAGCUGGUCUGAGAGGACGAUCAGCCACACUGGGACUGAGACACGGCCCAGACUCCUACGGGAGGCAGCA
rnacentral:rRNA from 1 species